rnacentral:misc_RNA from 1 species
AAGACUAUAGACCUGCGGAGUACCUGCGGAGGGAUCAUUGCAAAUCCGUGGUGGAGACGAGUUGAAAUACAAGCCGACCACUUUCGGGACCACCGCCCCGCCAGGGGAGGUGGUACUGGAGUGGCUGGCGAUGCAGACGCUAGUAGUAGUGGGUGGUGGUGGGUUGGGGGGUUAGGGAUUGUCUCUACCACUCACCGACACCACGCCUACGAAGCGCGCCUCGCAUUCUUACUACUGAUA